GCGUUUGUACGCCAACGGUUAGGAUAAUUGCCUUCCAAGCAAUAGACCCGGGUUCGAUUCCCGGCAGACGCA
rfam:Picea glauca, whole genome shotgun sequence.